CUGCUCGCUUCAGCAGCACAUGUAUUAAAACUGGAAUGAUACAAAGAAGAUUAGCAUGGCCCCUGCACAUAUUUGUGAAGCAUUUCCAAUUUUU
rnacentral:snRNA from 1 species